AUACGUAGGGGGCAAGCGUUAUCCGGAUUUACUGGGUGUAAAGGGAGCGUAGACGGUAAAGCAAGUCUGAAGUGAAAGCUCGGGGCUCAACCCCGGAACUGCUUUGGAAACUGUUUUACUGGAGUGCAGGAGAGGUAAGCGGAAUUCCUAGUGUAGCGGUGAAAUGCGUAGAUAUUAGGAGGAACACCAGUGGCGAAGGCGACUUACUGGACUGUAACUGACGCUGAGACUCGAAAGCGUGGGGAGCAAACAGGAUUAGAUACCCUGGUAGUCCACGCGGUAAACGAUGAUAACUAGGUGUUGGCACGCAUAGCGUGUCGGUGCCGCAGCAAACGCAAUAAGUGAUCCA
rnacentral:rRNA from 1 species